rnacentral:lncRNA from 1 species
GCAAGUGUUGUGCUUAACAGCUCUAGGAGUCAAACGGGGUAGAAGAAUGAAUGAAAUUAUCCAGUCAAGACAUUCUGUAUAAGACGUACCGGUUAGAAAUGAGGUCACAUGUGCAGCAUGCAUAGUUUGAGUAUUUUGAAGAACAUUGUAAAACUAUAAAUGUGAACAGUGACAUACAACAUAAUACUGUACCAGAAAGGCUAGAGCUAACUCAGGCUGUUGUAGCUACUCUUGGAUUUGUCAGCAAUUUGAAGGAAAGAUUUUCAGGAAAGUGUUUUUCCUCAACAG